rnacentral:rRNA from 1 species
GAUGAACGCUAGCGACAGGCUUAACACAUGCAAGUCAAGGAGAAUUCCCGACUUGUCGGGAUAGUAAACUGGCGAACGGGUGAGUAACACGUAGGUAAUCUACCCUCGGGAUCGGGAUAACCUCGCGAAAGUGGGGAUAAUACCGAAUAAAGUCUCGGUAUAAUUUGUCGAGAUGAAAGAUGGGGAUCUUCGGACCUAUUACCUGAGGAUGAGCCUGCGCCUGAUUAGCUAGUUGGUAGGGUAAAUGCCUACCAAGGCAACGAUCAGUAGCUGGUCUGAGAGGAUGAUCAGCCACAUUGGGACUGAGAUACGGCCCAGACUCCUACGGGAGGCAGCAGUGAGGAAUUUUGCGCAAUGGGCGAAAGCCUGACGCAGCAACGCCGCGUGACUGAUUAAGCUCUGAGGAGUGUAAAAGUCUGUCGUAGAGGAAGAAACUAUCCGAUAAGAAUAUUGUCGGAUACUGACGGUACUCUAUGAGAAAGCUCCGG